GAGAGGCGUGAUGAUGUUUAUCCAGUAUAUUCUGUAACAUCCAAUGAUGAUUUAUAUACAUGCACUACCAUCUGAUCUCUC